GCCAGCAUGGUAUAGUGGUUUGAGCAUUGGACUAUAACUCUGGAGACCUGGGUUCGAAUCCCAGCUCAGCCA